AGAAGGGUGACCUUGGCCGAGGAGAAUUUAUCACUGUCUCAUCUCUGACUAGAGAUAUUCAUGGUGCUCCAGCUGAAAGUUUUGUUGUUAAGCUCUCUGAAGCAAUUGGAAGCUUGAAAAUCCUGCGGAAAAUGUCAUCCUUUUGGUGUAGAGUUGCCGUUGAGGAUGUGCUCGACAUGUUGCUACAGCUCCUGUCGUAGUGAUACCCUCAUCUAAACGCUACCACGCGAGAAUGAGCAGAGCCCAAGCUUGACCUUAUGUGUACAUCCUGAGAUGGGAUUGUGUUAUUGCCGACCUUUUAAGCCCUCCCUCUUGUAUUGUGUGGUAAACGCUCUUUUCUCUGAAGUUGUGGCUCCUACCCGUCUGUGACUACAGUUUACUUGAAUAACAUGAAAUAAUUCUGACAUUAUGUUUUGUAUAA